GGUCUCCUCCCCCGGGCGGCAUCGUCCAAUGGCAGAACUGCGGCUCCCCCAGCUCACCGCGUCACCUACGGUGGAGAUAGAGAAAGGUGAGCCACAGAGGAUCAUCUGCCUCCAUCACAGUCCAUCCUCCUGUCACACCAACCUUCCUCUGCAUCCAUGAAUCUUCUCGGAGGUCAUCCUCUUGUCCUCCUGUCUGGCAAGCUCCAUCUUCAACAUCCUUUGUCCAACAUAUCCACAAAUUACCUCGACAGUCACUCCACCCUGCGUAUACUGUCUUGUUCACUGUCCGUUGUUUUGGAUGGUAGCCCCGAGGUAUUUAAACUCAUGCACAUGUAUUCUGUCUUGCUUCUACUGAUUUUCAUUCCUCCUCUCUCCAGCUCUGUAGGCCCUUCCUGAUGCAACCCUACAUAUUAGGACUAAGACUUUUAGAUUAAGGCUGAACAGAGAAACACUUAAUUCUUCUGUAAGACUCCAAAGAGUUAUUAGAUCUUUCCCUGUCCAAUAUUAUGCAAUAAAUUGUUUUAAAUAAAUGUUGAAAUUUUACAGCUCUCCUGUUAUCAUCUCCACCAUCCAGUUUCUUUUAAGGACCCACUGGAUGAACCUUUCCUAUUGUGAAGCAAAUGUCUUUUUUAAAACAUGCUGAAGCAGUACCUGUGUGCCUGCAUGUGGCCACUGAAACAUGCAAUUAAAUCAGCUUUUUAUUAAGAAAAUUUGACAAGCAUGCACUCAGUACAUUCUGGCAUGGUUGGAAGGUGUUUUGUUGACUUAAAGACAUGAAUAAAGCAAUCAUUAAUGACUUUAUUUACAUAUUACGUCUCCAUACUGCUACUCCUUUUAGAUGCUGCCAUAGUGGAUCAUCUGCCUUCAGCUCACCCUAUCGCUUACAUCCUUCUCUGCCACACGAGCUCUCUGCAGGUCCUCCUUCUCUACAUUAAUGAAGCUUCUCUUUUCCUCCUUUCUGGCAGCUCCAUAAUCCCGACACAGAAAGUCCCAACUCUCAUUUCCAAACCUUUCCUUCUCUCCUGCUGCCUCCCUCUUUCCUCUUUCUUUGUCCUUGCACAGCAGUUUCCACCAGCACCCUGCUGGUCAACAGCACCAUUGGUAGUCGUUCAUUCUUGACGAUCCACAUAUUUGAUUUGAAGAUUUUACAUCGGAUCCCCUUCCUGACCUAUUUAUCCAUGGUUGGUAACAGCACUAGGAGUACACUGGCAUGUGGCCCACCCGUGGCUGGUUAUUUAUUUACAUUUUAGUUACUCACAUAUAAUAUAAAUGCGACACCAUAUAAAGAUUAAGAAAACACCUCUCUUUAACACGUCACCCACUUGCCUUUCUUUUCUUUAGUGGACACACUGCUACAGCACAUACCAAAUAUGCCUCAAGAGGCAACAUUAUCACACACGUGAAUGACAGAAGCACUGUUGUUGUGUAAUGAAAGAAAAAUCUUAAAACUUUGAUACAGUCAAACAACAGAGCAUGAAAAUGGGUAGACACUUGUAUUUUUGAAAAUGUUUGCCUCCUCGUCUUAUCCCUUUGUUUGUGCAAAUUCUCCGAGGCAUGAUGUCAGCAGCAUUUUUGCCACAUCCAUACUCUCAGCAGCGGAGUAACCUUCUUUAUGUAUAGUUCAUAACAAGAUCUGUUGUUUGAAAAGGGAAA